rnacentral:tRNA from 1 species
CCUCUCAUGGCGUAGUGGUUAACACGCCCCAACUAGAGAUCGGGGAGUCGUGAGUUCGAUUCUCACUGAGGAGA